rnacentral:rRNA from 1 species
GGGGAAUAUUGGGCAAUGGGGGGAACCCUGACCCAGCAACGCCGCGUGAAGGAAGAAGGUCUUCGGAUUGUAAACUUCUGUCCUAUGGGAAGAAGGAAGUGACGGUACCAUAGGAGGAAGCCCCGGCUAACUACGUGCCAGCAGCCGCGGUAAAACGUAGGGGGCGAGCGUUGUCCGGAAUUACUGGGCGUAAAGGGUGCGUAGGCGGCGCUGCAAGUCGGAUGUGAAAUACCUGUGCUUAACAUGGGAGGUGCAUUUGAAACUGCGGUGCUUGAGUGUGGAAGAGGCAAGCGGAAUUCCCGGUGUAGCGGUGAAAUGCGUAGAGAUCGGGAGGAACACCAGUGGCGAAGGCGGCUUGCUGGGCCAUAACUGACGCUGAAGCACGAAAGCGUGGGUAGCAAAC